GACGAAGGGGGCUAGCGUUGUUCGGAAUUACUGGGCGUAAAGCGCGUGUAGGCGGUUAUCCAAGUCGGGUGUGAAAGCCUUGAGCUCAACUCAAGAAAUGCACUCGGUACUGGGUGACUAGAGGACCGAGAGGAUAGUGGAAUUCCCAGUGUAGUGGUGAAAUACGUAGAGAUUGGGAAGAACACCAGUGGCGAAGGCGGCUAUCUGGACGGUUUCUGACGCUAAGACGCGAAAGCGUGGGGAG
rnacentral:rRNA from 1 species